CUAAUGGCCUUUAUUUUGUUUAAGAUAAGUAUGACGUCAUCGAUUCAAUCGGCGUCUUCAGACCUUAUCGAUUCAAUCGUCGUCUUCAAUUCACAAGUCAUAGCUCCUCAAAGCCCCCCUUACACUAAUUGGAUAACCGUUAUCAUCUCUUUCAAGAGUCGUCUCUUUUCACAAACUUAAUAAUAGAAUUAACGGUACAGAUUUUCAGUUUGUUGUAGUAGUUCAUUCAUCAGAUGCUCUCAUUCGCUCCUUCUCCCUCUCCAGAUUUUACUUCUCUCCGCUUCGUCAACAUCCAAACCCGGUCAUAUGUUUUUUGGUGACAAUUCAUAUGUGUUAAAUCGUUCUUACGUUCAUCUUCUCGCAAUCCAUCUUUCCACCCAGAAUUUCAGAAUUGUUUCCGACAUAAGCCGUGCGUUUUAUAAAUGUUGCGACCAAAAGCAGUGAUUGGGAAUUACAUAUAUCACCACGGCAGCAAGUACAGAAAAAUCAAGUCAACAUAGAUUUGCUUAUUCAGUCCGGCAAGUCAAAGCCACGCUGAAAAUAAUAACGAGUAACGACACCGUAAUGUGGAGAGGAGACGGGGUGAAUUGCAUCUUAUUUUUUGGACGACCAAUCCGCUUGUGACUUUCCUUUUCUCUCUUCUCUUUUGCAUUGCAGUCUACUCAAUUUUCAUCGUUUCAUAUUUAGUUUCCUAAUUCUGUUUCUUUAGUAAUUGAUUCGUGAUGUUCACCAGAAGAACUCAUAUGCAUGUGCAUGCGUUUAAGUGGGGAAGUUUGUACUUGAAGAAGUGUAAAGAUCGUCAAGUUUCGAUCAGAUUUCAAUAUUUAUAAUGCUAAAAAUCAUUGCAUUACAAUAAAUAUGAAUCUAUUCGUAAUGUAAUUAUCCUGCCAUCUGUCCCUCUGUAAACUAAGACCACUAAUGUAUACAUAUGAAGAAACCAACGAUGUAUGCUUUUUUUUUACAGCACCAACGAUGUGUU